GACGAACGCUGGCGGCGUGCUUAACACAUGCAAGUCGAACGGAAAGGCCUGCUUUCCCUUGUGGAUUGCGGGUGCUCGAGUGGCGAACGGGUGAGUAACACGUGAGUGAUCUGCCCCCAACUUGGGUAUAAGCCCGGGAAACUGGGUCUAAUUCCCGAUAGGACUGCAGGGUGGUGCCUGUGGUGGAAAACGAUUUUCCAGCGGUUGGGGAUGAGCUCGCGGCCUAUCAGCUUGUUGGUGGGGUAAUGGCCUACCAAGGCGGCGACGGGUAGCCGGCCUGGGAGGGUGGACGGCCACAUUGGGACUGAGAUACGGCCCAGACUCCUACGGGAGGCAGCAGUGGGGAAUAUUGCACAAUGGGCGGAAGCCUGAUGCAGCGACGCCGCGUGGGGGAUGACGGCCUUCGGGUUGUAAACUCCUUUCGACCGCGAGGAAGCCACCUGGUUGGAAGGGUGGUGACGGUAGUGGUAGAAGAAGCACCGGCUAACUACGUG
rnacentral:rRNA from 1 species